AUUGAACGCUGGCGGCAUGCUUUACACAUGCAAGUCGAACGGCAGCGCGGGGGCAACCCUGGCGGCGAGUGGCGAACGGGUGAGUAAUGCAUCGGAACGUACCCUGUAAUGGGGGAUAACGUAGCGAAAGUUACGCUAAUACCGCAUACGCUCGAGAGAGGAAAGUGGGGGAUCACAAGACCUCACGUUAUAGGAGCGGCCGAUGUCCGAUUAGCUAGUUGGUGGGGUAAAGGCCUACCAAGGCGACGAUCGGUAGCUGGUCUGAGAGGAUGAUCAGCCACACUGGGACUGAGACACGGCCCAGACUCCUACGGGAGGCAGCAGUGGGGAAUUUUGGGACAAUGGGCGAAAGCCUGAUCCAGCCAUGCCGCGUGCGGGAAGAAGGCC
rnacentral:rRNA from 1 species